AAGGAACAGGUUGUUCUCCAGUGUCUGUCAAUAUGCGCUGCAAAUGGCUGCUUGUGAGUGUGAGGCAGCAACUAAGCUGGGGCAGUCGCCAGGCCUGCCGCCGCACGUCUUCGCGAGUGGGGUUAGUUUUUUUUUGUUUUUUGUUUUUUUCUUCACCCACUCGCUCUCAGAACACGCCCUUCUUCUGCCUCUGUCGUCGAGUUGCCAGACUCUCGUGUUGUGCUAAAAGAGAAGUCGAGUGGGUUCUUGUCCCCGAAUGAGUGAGGACUAUGUGCAGGCAGGAAAACAAUGGCGGAGGCCGGCGCACUUGAAGAACUCCAGUCGGAACUCACCUGUCCGGUGUGUCUGGAGAUCUUCCGCGAUCCCGUCAUCCUCGAGUGCGGACACCACUUCUGCCAGGUUUGCAUCGUUCAGUGCUGGGAGGCCAAGGCGGACGAGCUGUCCACUUGUCCCAAGUGCCGCAAAACCUGCGCGCGCAAACUGAGGCCCAACUCGCUCCUGUGUAACGUGGUUGAGAGCGUCCGUCGAGCCCGGGCCAUGGACGCCGUCGCCGGGGGUGAGGGCGGGGCCCCGCCGCCCGGCUGGGAGCCCGACGGUCCGCCGGAGGACCCCGAGGAGCGCGAGCCCGGCUCCAGCAUGAGCAGCCUCGCCUCGUCCGUCGGGCACUGGCCGCGCCUGUUCGGAAUGGACAUGUGCGAGGAACACGAGGAGAAACUCAAGCUGUACUGCGAGGACGACCAGCUGCCAAUAUGUCUGGUUUGUGGCAUGUCCCGGGACCACAAGACACACAACGUCAUCCCCAUUAACGAGGCCUUUGAGAACUACAAGGAUAAGCUUUCUGUGGCUCUGGAGAGAGUUCAGCAGCAGUCAGAGGAUGCCUCACUUUUCCAAAAAUGCACCAAUAAAAAAAUCCUUCUGAUUAAGGAACAAGCAGGGGAGCUGGAGGAAAUGGUCACUGCUGAAUUCGGCCAUCUGAGGGAAUUCCUCCAGGAGGAGGAGGAUCGCAUCAAGCAGAAAGUGCAGAAGCAAAAGGAGGAGAAACUCACAGAGCUGGAGGAGGCUCUCACGGAGGCCACGCAGCAAAUCAGCCGGCUGGAAAGCAUCGCUGACCAACUCCACCUCAAACUGAUGGAGGAAGAAAACCCCGAGCAACUCAAGGGAAUUAAAGAUUUCAUUGGCGGGGCUGAGAGCUUGUUUGAGCGGCCCCCAGAUGUGAGUGUGGAUCUGCAGUCAGGAGAGCUUCUGGGACCUUUGCAGUACAGGAUCUGGAGGAAAAUGAGCACAGUUUUUCAGCCUGCUGUGACGGCAGUGUCACUGGACACGGACACAGCCUACCCCUGUCUGUGGGUUUCCUUAUGCCGCACCAGCGUCCAGGUGGGCAAACUCCAGCCCAACCUGCCCAACAACCCGGAACGCUUCACUCGCUACAACAUCGUCCUCGGCUCGGAGGCCUUUUCUUCGGGCAGACACUACUGGGAGGUGGAGGUGGGGCCUAAGACGGCGUGGGGUCUCGGCGUGGCCCGAGCUUCUGUCAACAGGAAGGAUGAGAUUAACCUGUGCCCCGAGGACGGUUUCUGGACUGUGGUGAUGAGGGACAACGGAGACGGCACCAGCGAGUAUGAAGCGUGCACAGACACAGAGGAGGAUAGCUUGUUAUAUCCGGUCAAACCUCCCAGGCGGGUGGGAGUCUAUCUGGACUGCGGUCGCGGCGAGGUGGCAUUUUAUGACGCCGGAGACAUGAGCCACCUGUUCACCUUCUAUGAUGCCAAAUUCGAUGAGCCAGUUUACCCAUAUUUUAAUCCCUGGCCUGUUAUUAACGGAUACAACUGGGAGCCGCUGACCAUUGUCACGCCACACUGGGCAUAGAUUGGUUAGCACAUUUAGCUUCAAGAUGUUGAAAUGUGUUUUCUGGGGUAAAUGUAAUGGUGGUGAGAAAAGAUUGAUGACCAUACAGUGAACCUGCGCAUAUUCGCAGUUGAGCAUUCGCAAAUUCUGCGAUUUUUGAGAGUGAACCUUAAAUCAUUUAUUUCUGUUUUUGUGCUCAGGCAGUAAUGGUAAUUCUUUGGCGUCAUCUGGUGGCAUGUUGGUGCUGAAGUGGGUUGAGGAGCUUUCCGCCAUCUUGUGGUGUCUAUCGGAAAUUACAGUACAGUAUGUUUAGUAUAUAAAUGACUUUCAGAUUUUCAUUAUUCACGGCAGGGCUUGGUCCCUAACCCCACGAAUAGCGGGGGUUCACUGUAACAUGGAUAGGUUAAAAAAAAUACUAAAAGGAUAAUAGUAAAGAAAUAGCACAUUAUAGAACAAAGGUUAUUGUAUACAGUAUAGGGCCCUUGUGAAGAAUCUCCAAAACUAACCCUUUUUUUUUUUUGCAAGCGUGUGUAUCCUGUUGAAAAUGUAUGUAUUUGUGUGGUGCUGAACACAACCACCCCCAAAACUCAUUAAGUACUGCUUCCUGUAAACUUUGACUUGAUCAACACGAAACUCAAUGUCACCAAAAUCAUAACAGGAUUGCACGAAAAAGUCUCAAGGACCCAUGGUCAAAAUUGAAGAGGAAGUCAGACAAAGUGAUUGCCACCCGUUACAACAUAACUGUGAUUUAUCAUACUUAAGUUCACUUUCUCUAGCCACGCCCAGGCCUGAUACUGCCACAUCUGUUCUCAAUCAAGAAAUCACUUAAAUAGGACCUGCCUGACAAAGUGAAGUAGACCAAAAGAUCCUCAAAAGACAUCAUGCCGAGAUCUAAAGAAAUUCAGGAACAAAUGUGAAAGAAAGUAAUUGAGCUCUAUCAGUAUGGAAAAGGUUAUAAAGUCAUUUUUAAAGCUUUGGGACUCCAGCGAAACACAGUGAGAGCCAUUAUCCACAAAUAGUGAAAACAUAGAACAGCGGUGACCCUUCCCAGGAGUGGCCGGCCGACCAAAAUUACCCUAUGAGCGCAGCGACGACUCACCUAAGAGGUCCCAAAAGACCCCACAAGAACAUCCAAAGAACUGUGGGCCUUACUUGCCUCAGUUAAGGCCAGUAUUCAUGGCUCCACCACCAUAAGAGAGGGACUGGGCAAAAAAUGGCCUGCAUGGAAGAGUUCUCAGAUGAAAACCACUGCUGAGCAAAAAGAACAUUUAGGCGUAUCUCAAUUUUGCCAGAAGACAUCUUGAUGAUCCCCAAGACUUUUGGGAAACUACUCUGUGGUCCGACGAGACAAAACUUUUUGGAAGGUGUGUGUCCCGUUACAUCUGGCGUAUGAGUAAGAACACAUUUUAGAAAAACAACAUCAUACCAACAGUAAAAUAUGGUGGUGGUAGUGUAAUGUUCUGGGGCUGUUUUCUGCCGCAGGACCUCGAAGACUUGCUGUGAUAUAUGGAACCAUGAAUUCUGAUGGCUACCAAAAAGUCCCGAAGGAGAAUGUCCAGCCAUCUGAAAAACCAAAUGAAGACUGUAGUGGCCGACUCAAAGUCCUGACCUGAGAUGUUAUGGCAUGACCUUAAAAAGGCGGUUCCUGCUCGAAAACCCUCCAAUGGUGGCUGAAUUACAACAAUUCAUAAUUCCUCCACAGCGCUGUGAAUCAGCGGAUUCAAUGUCACCUCAUAGGGUCCACCAUGUACAAAGAGCUUCUUUUCCAGAGCCAGCUUGAUAAAUUGCUUUCGUGCUUGUGGAGUCAACUGGAUAUCUGUCACCUGUGAUACAAACAAAUACAUAAUGAGAAGAAGAACGUGUCUGACCUGAAUAAAUGUGUCUGUUAUUCAUGA